rnacentral:rRNA from 1 species
CCGGCACGGGUGAGUAACACGUAUCCAACCUGCCGUCUACUCUUGGACAGCCUUCUGAAAGGAAGAUUAAUACAAGAUGGCAUCAUGAGUUCACAUGUUCACAUGAUUAAAGGUAUUCCGGUAGACGAUGGGGAUGCGUUCCAUUAGAUAGUAGGCGGGGUAACGGCCCACCUAGUCUUCGAUGGAUAGGGGUUCUGAGAGGAAGGUCCCCCACAUUGGUACUGAGACACGGACCAA